rnacentral:rRNA from 1 species
ACGCUCGACACCUACGGGGGCAGCAGUGGGGAAUAUUGCACAAUGGGGAAACCCUGAUGCAGCGACGCCGCGUGAAGGAAGAAGUAUUUCGGUAUGUAAACUUCUAUCAGCAGGGAAGAAAAUGACGGUACCUGACUAAGAAGCCCCGGCUAACUACGUGCUAGCAGCCGCGGUAAUCUGAGCGGGCUGGCAAGGC